rnacentral:rRNA from 1 species
GAUGAACGCUGGCGGCGUGCCUAAUACAUGCAAGUCGAGCGAACAGACGAGGAGCUUGCUCCUCUGACGUUAGCGGCGGACGGGUGAGUAACACGUGGAUAACCUACCUAUAAGACUGGGAUAACUUCGGGAAACCGGAGCUAAUACCGGAUAAUAUAUUGAACCGCAUGGUUCAAUAGUGAAAGACGGUUUUGCUGUCACUUAUAGAUGGAUCCGCGCCGCAUUAGCUAGUUGGUAAGGUAACGGCUUACCAAGGCAACGAUGCGUAGCCGACCUGAGAGGGUGAUCGGCCACACUGGAACUGAGACACGGUCCAGACUCCUACGGGAGGCAGCAGUAGGGAAUCUUCCGCGAUGGGCGAAAGCCUGACGGAGCAACGCCGCGUGAGUGAUGAAGGUCUUCGGAUCGUAAAACUCUGUUAUUAGGGAAGAACAGAUGUGUAAGUAACUAUGCACGUCUUGACGGUACCUAAUCAGAAAGCCACGGCUAACUACGUG